UGUUUUCACUUGGUAUUUUUAUUUAUGGAUUUAUGGGACGAGUUCUUAUGCUAGGGAUCCUAUAGGAGAAAACUCUGUCGGUAGUUCUCUGUGUAGCCUAAUAUGGCAUUUGAAUGAGAACCUUAUGGCCGUAGAGAAGUGUUCCCUUCGGAUGGAACUGCAUGGGAAGACGAUAGAAAUUUACUCCAUGAAUUUGCAACUAAAAACAUCAAGUAAACGAACUUAGCUACAUCUAAAACAACAAAAUGAUAAAUAUGGUGAGUACUGACUAGGAUAUUACACCACUGUGUACACCUCAGUCAUCUUGUUGGCCUUGACAGCCCCUCAAAG
rnacentral:lncRNA from 1 species